rnacentral:rRNA from 1 species
GAUGAACGCUAGCGGCAGGCCUAACACAUGCAAGUCGAGGGAGAAGCCCUUUCGGGGGCCGAAACCGGCGCACGGGUGCGUAACGCGUAUGCAACCUACCUUUCACAGGGGGAUAGCCCGAAGAAAUUUGGAUUAAUACCCCAUAAUAUUAUUGGAUGGCAUCAUUUGAUAAUUAAAACUGCGGUGGUGAAAGAUGGGCAUGCGUCCUAUUAGCUAGUUGGAGUGGUAACGGCACCCCAAGGCUACGAUAGGUAGGGGUCCUGAGAGGGAGAUCCCCCACACUGGUACUGAGACAGGGACCAGACUCCUACGGGAGGCAGCAGUGAGGAAUUUUGGUCAAUGGUCGGAAGACUGAACCAGCCAUGCCGCGUGCAGGAAGAAUGCCUUAUGGGUUGUAAACUGCUUUUAUAUGGGAAGAAUAAGGCGUACGUGUACGUUGAUGACGGUACCAUAUGAAUAAGCAUCGGCUAACUCCGUG